GAUGAAGAACGUAGUGAAAUGCGAUAAGUAGUGUGAAUUGCAGAAUUCAGUGAAUCAUCGAAUCUUUGAACGCACAUUGCGCCCGCUAGUAUUCUGGCGGGCAUGCCUGUCUGAGCGUCAUUUCAACCCUCGCCCCCGGCUUUUGCUGGGAGCGGUGUUGGGGAUCGGCCGCCCGUCACUGGGAGGCCGGCCCCGAAAUAGAGUGGCGACCACGCCGUGUGCUCCUCUGCGUAGUAGUAAAUCACCUCGCAGGCGGACAGCGGUGCGGCCUGCCGUAAAACCCCCAACUCUUUCUGGUUGACCUCAGAUCAGGUAGGAAUACCCGCUGAACUUAAGCAUAUCAAUAAGCGGAGGA
rnacentral:misc_RNA from 1 species